UACAGAGGUCCCGAGCGUUUGUUCGGAUUCAUUGGGCGUAAAGGGUGCGUAGGCGGCGGGGUAAGUUUAAUGUGAAAUUCCGGGGGCUCAACCCUGGCAUGGCAUUGAAUACUACCUUGCUAGAGUACCGGAGAGGAAACUGGAAUUUACGGUGUAGCAGUGAAGUGCGUAGAGAUCGUAAGGAAGACCAGUGGCGAAGGCGAGUUUCUGGACGGUAACUGACGCUGAGGCACGAAGGCCAGGGGGAGCAAACGGGG
rnacentral:rRNA from 1 species